rnacentral:rRNA from 1 species
GCUUGUCUCAAAGAUUAAGCCAUGCAUGUCUAAGUAUAAAUAACUACACAGUAAAACUGCGAAUGGCUCAUUAAAACAGUUAUAGUUUAUUUGAUACAUUAUAAAUGGAUAACUGUAGAAACACUAGAGCUAAUACAUGCCAAGCCCGCAAGGGCGUAUUUAUUAGAUAUUCCAAGUAGGUGAUUCAUAAUAACUUCGCAAAUCUCAGUAAUACUGAGAUAAAUCAUUCAAGUUUCUGCCCUAUCAACUGUCGACUGUGAUAUAGACGCUCACAGUGGUUUUGACGGGUAACGGGGAAUCAGGGUUCGAUUCCGGAGAGGGAGCCUUAAAAACGGCUACCACAUCCAAGGAAGGCAGCAGG